GACGAACGCUGGCGGCGUGCCUAAUACAUGCAAGUAGAACGCUGAAGGAGGAGCUUGCUCUUCUGGAUGAGUUGCGAACGGGUGAGUAACGCGUAGGUAACCUGCCUGGUAGCGGGGGAUAACUAUUGGAAACGAUAGCUAAUACCGCAUAACAGUAGAUGUUGCAUGACAUUUGCUUAAAAGGUGCAAUUGCAUCACUACCAGAUGGACCUGCGUUGUAUUAGCUAGUUGGUGGGGUAACGGCUCACCAAGGCGACGAUACAUAGCCGACCUGAGAGGGUGAUCGGCCACACUGGGACUGAGACACGGCCCAGACUCCUACGGGAGGCAGCAGUGGGGAAUUUUGGACAAUGGGCGCAAGCCUGAUCCAGCCAUGCCGCGUGUCUGAAGAAGGCCUUCGGGUUGUAAAGGACUUUUGUCAGGGAAGAAAAGGGCGGGGUUAAUACCCCUGUCUGAUGACGGUACCUGAAGAAUAAGCACCGGCUAACUACGUGCCAGCAGCCGCGGUAAUACGUAGGGUGCGAGCGUUAAUCGGAAUUACUGGGCGUAAAGCGGGCGCAGACGGUUACUUAAGCAGGAUGUGAAAUCCCCGGGCUCAACCUGGGAACUGCGUUCUGAACUGGGCGACUAGAGUGUGUCAGAGGGAGGUAGAAUUCCACGUGUAGCAGUGAAAUGCGUAGAGAUGUGGAGGAAUACCGAUGGCGAAGGCAGCCUCCUGGGAUAACACUGACGUUCAUGCCCGAAAGCGUGGGUAGCAAACAGGAUUAGAUACCCUGGUAGUCCACGCCCUAAACGAUGUCGAUUAGCUGUUGGGCAGCAUGACUGCUUAGUAGCGAAGCUAACGCGUGAAAUCGACCGCCUGGGGAGUACGGUCGCAAGAUUAAAACUCAAAGGAAUUGACGGGGACCCGCACAAGCGGUGGAUGAUGUGGAUUAAUUCGAUGCAACGCGAAGAACCUUACCUGGUCUUGACAUGUACGGAACCCUCCAGAGACGGAGGGGUGCCUUCGGGAGCCGUAACACAGGUGCUGCAUGGCUGUCGUCAGCUCGUGUCGUGAGAUGUUGGGUUAAGUCCCGCAACGAGCGCAACCCUUGUCAUUAGUUGCCAUCAUUAAGUUGGGCACUCUAAUGAGACUGCCGGUGACAAGCCGGAGGAAGGUGGGGAUGACGUCAAGUCCUCAUGGCCCUUAUGACCAGGGCUUCACACGUCAUACAAUGGUCGGUACAGAGGGUAGCCAAGCCGCGAGGUGGAGCCAAUCUCACAAAACCGAUCGUAGUCCGGAUUGCACUCUGCAACUCGAGUGCAUGAAGUCGGAAUCGCUAGUAAUCGCAGGUCAGCAUACUGCGGUGAAUACGUUCCCGGGUCU
rnacentral:rRNA from 1 species